GGGGAACAAAGACACAGAACUAAACUACACAUAUAGACAACAGGAACACUGACUAAUUUAUCAUAUUUAGUAGGAAUGGCAAACUUGGAAGGCUUAGGAUAUAAAGAUUGGAAAGGUUUGUGAUUUGGAUUGUUUGAAGACAUGCUUGAAGACCCUGCCCACAUCACUGACUUCCUAAAGAAGGCCACAGACAAAUCCCUGAAGCACUUAAUAGAGUCUCAGUUUCCACCCCUGGGCGGAGUCACGGCAUACCUGCGUGCCUCCACACCUGCUGGCAGUUGAGCUGUCAGUACUUAAGACCAGCGCUCACCCCUACUCUCUGCCAAGUCUUCAGCUUACCUACAGUUAGUGCUGGUUGUCACGGAGUAUUCAUCAAAACAGAUUUUUUUCAUGGUGAGAUUAAUCCUGUGCUCUCAACCUGCAGUCAUCCUGCUGUCUGUCAUUUCCUCUGCUGGCCAUAUUCACCAUCAUCCCGACGCCGGUCAGUACGAGACAGCUCAGUGCAAAAAGCUCUCUUUUUCACUCACCUGCCCUCCUGUCACAGCACCCACGUAACACCCCACCUGGAAACAGCACUGCCUCACCCAGACCUCUUCCCCCUCUCGUGCCUAAAAACCUCCACCUGCCAAGUAAGACAAGAUCUGUUUAUACUUCAUUCUCAUCUGGACUCCAUCGGCCUCGCUCUUAACUCGUUUCCUCUCGUUCUAGUUCUCCGUGACACCUUGCUGCAUUACCUGUUCCGAGUGCACAUUCCCCCUUGAAUUUCCCUACUCUAGUUGUCCUAGUGUUUCAUGCUGUUCAUUGUCAUUUGAGUACUCUUUAUUUUAUUAGAGCUGUAGGUAGUCUCUCUCAGUUUUCAGUAGCUUCGUGGUUCAGAGCUCACACUCUAAAUUAAUAUCAGUUCUUCCUGUUGUAAAUAAAGAGUUUUUGAUAAAUACGCUCACCAGUGCGUCCGUGAGUGUUCUCCAUAUCGAGUCUUUUUCCCAGGUCGGCCUUGGCUGUGACAUUAAUAACGGCACCGUGUUUCCUCCUCUAUUCAGCAUGCCAAACAGACAAAGAGCACCGCACCAAAGCAGUAAGGGAAUGUUUGGUGUUUAGCCAGCAGCAGGUGGAAACACUCACUGCUGAAAACGCCUCGCUACGAGACUUGGUCAUGUGACCCAGCUCAGUGAAGAAAGUAAAAUAAUAAUGAUUUUAAAAUAAUAAAAGACACUAUGGUCGAUUUCCACACUAUCCCCUGGUGUUUUCAGGCAUCCUGGAAUCUGCGGAAGAGGACGCAGAAGUUACCAUUAAAACCUUCAUCAGGACCCACCUGAAGCUUCCACAGGACACGCUGAAGAACAUCACCUUCCACUGUGUCCUUGGCCUGGCAGCAAGAAUGAUGCCUGAAGACCGCGUCCUAUUGUGACCAAAUUCCAACAUUUCAAGCAGAAGGAACAGGCAGCUGAAAGGAACGGACUUUAGUGUAAACAACCAGUUCCCCAAAGAGAUCCCGGAGCGACAUGAGGUCCUGAUCCUCAUUCAGUGGAUCUUCAUUCAGAAGGGCUCCCGUGCUGUGGUCGCUGUGGACGAACAGAUCAGCCUCAGCACCACUCCCUGGUUGAUUGACGCCACUCCAUAUAAGAAUCCACUACAUUGUUUUUCUUCUCCUCCGCUUCCCCUGUUAUCUAACUUAUUGAUGUUAAUUCACUAAUGCAACGUGACGUCAUGACAGAUAAAUUACCAUCAGUCUCCACAGCGUUAAAGUAUUAGUUACAAUGUUCUUGUUUUCUUUCCAGUUUUCUCUUUCAUCUCUCCCUCUUGCCCCAUUGCAUAUUUCCUUCUUAUUUUUAUGUUCAUUCUUAGUCUUAUAUGUUACUAUAUAUAUAUUCAUAUUUUCAGGCUGCUUUAUUUGACAAAACGUGUAGAAGACUGUAUUAGUCAGCUGUAAGGAUGGAGCAACCAAGAACCAACCUAACGGUGCCUACCUUCUACAGCGGCAUUCCACAAACAUUCAGCCUGUCAUGGCUGUAAUUGUAGUCCAUUUUAACACAGUUAAAAAUCAUGGUUGAUUUAAAACAAAAGCAACAAAAAGUUUUACUUGGUUGUUAUCUUGUAGUUGUAUUAAUUACAGGAGUAUCUGUAAUAACCAUUUUUACAGAUGAAUAAAAGUUUGGACAUUUUGACAGACUGUUUCUGUAUGUGUUAAAUGUAGAAGUGUCUAUUCUUGCAGUGACUGCUGUUCUACAGCCACUACAUGUAGAUAGA